UGAGCGGGGGGUACCCCGAGCACCGGCGUUGGGCGCUGCGCCGUCAGCCGCCUUGGAAGGAACGCGGAGCGAGGCGGCGGGCGUGAGCGAGCCCGGCGGGAACGGCCCUCGGUUCUGGGAGCGCACCCUGGACGCUGCCCUGCGGCGUACGGCCUCUUCCAUUCCCCUGCACCGGCACGGCCCGAGGUGUUCUCCGUCACUCGCCUGGGAUGAGCAUUCGCGAACCUGGGAACUCCUCCUGUCUUUUGGCUCUUUAUAUUGGAACUCACGAAAGACGUUUAUGAAAGCUCUUUUGCCAAAUCGUAAAACGUGAAUAAGCGGGAGGCUUAAGGAACGUUUGUUUGUCAUCGCUUUCUCAGCCACGGCAGUGGCUGAUCUCACCGGUGGCAGGUGAAGGCAGGAACACCUUCCUUUGUGACAGGCAGCACGCACCGCUUCUGCCGGCCCACGUACCGUGCCGAGGGAAUUGCUGAAUUACGGAUCUCUUGAAUGCUCUCUCAAAUGUGGGGGGUUGGGGUUUUUCCCUCUCUUACAGUGGACAUAACUGAUGUUCUAAUAAUACUAUUUCCUUUUUUCCAGUAGCAUUAGUGAUGGCAAUGUCAGUAGUGCAGCUGACCAGUCCCCACAAAUAAUGUGAUUAAAAAAAACAUUUGAGACACUGAUGUGGCCUGCAUGGUAGAACUUUGUAUAAAGAAAAGCUUUCCAGGUUUUAACAAGUGUAGUAUACAAAUUAUACUACCGUUAAUUGAGACUGAAAGGAAUACAGCCAAUUAGUAGUUUAUCGGGUGAAGUUACACUGAUAGAAGGUUCCCUGCCCUGGUGAAGCAUACCUCUAUUAAACAUUGUUCCAGUCUAAUUACUGGGGUGGGACUGUAAGAAUAAAUUGUGAAGCUCUGCCUAGACGCUUUUCCCAGCUCCAAAGGGUGAAUUACCUUCAGUUGAUCUCAGUCAUGUCAAUUCUUGAGACUAAGUGUGACAAUUCAGCAGUAGCAGUCAGAUAUUAAAUUGUUAAUGCUUAAGUGUAUAGAAUGAAAUUUAAAAGUCCUGUAGGACUCAAUGCAAAAUUGGGCUUUUGGUUACUGCAAGAACUAAAGGGAGGUGAGAGAAAACAAAAAGAGUAAAAAAACCCACGCCUAGAACAAUAAUUACACCCAUGGAUCAUAAACUAUGAAAGAGGCCAUAAAAAUGGUAAGAAGGCUUAUCCAAUUCCAAAUUACAAGUAUUUGAACACUGAGCAACUUAAGAAAGCAAGCAGUAUGAUCAUUCUCAUCCAGAACAACAAACCAUUGCUGAGGUAAAAUCUUUUGGCUGGUAGUAGCAGGAUGCAAAUGCUAACCCUAGUGGUUAAUCCUUUUGAUUUAUAGGUAUCGCAUAAAUCACGUUGCUGAUUUUUCUAAGCCUGCUGUUAGGAUUGCCUACAUACCGUUUACAUUUAGAGAAUGGCUUGUUGAGAACUCCACCGAUGGGCUGGCUACUUCAGGAAUGUUUCAGAUGUAAUACAGACUGCAAAAGUGAGCCUGAAAAUUGCAUCAGAAAUGGGAAUUUCUCAGGUCAUGAUGGGAUAUUUGGCAGUAGAAGUGGUGACGCAGCUUCUCCAUCAUAAAUACCUCCCAUAUUCCUACACUUCUAUUGCCCCCUUUCUUUCGUGAGUGCUAGAAUUUGUGUGGGGGUAUGAUGGAGUCGGGAAUUGACACAGGAGAAAAGCAGUGGCAGUGUUUCAGCUGAAAGACUCCCUGAUCUGGUUCACCUUGCAGCCACACGAACAGCUGCAUUGGCAACAGCAAAAUGCACUUUGAACAGUGUCCUGAAAUUGUUAUCACUCAAGUAGACAAAGAUCUCAGAAGAAAAUAUAUGAGAGAGAGAAACUGAGUUACGCAGCUCCUUAAGUGGCAGAAGUUGCAGUGUUAAGUAUCAAGAUGAAAACAGAAGAAACCAAGACCAUCUUAUUUAACUAGGCACAUUACAAAGGACUAAAACUUGCUAUUUAUAAGCACUGCAGUUGUAAUCCCUCGUGUUAUCCUGCAGACAGCGCUAAACUUCAUUCAUAUUGAUGUCAGAACAUUUGCUGAAUGGGAGACUGACAUGCUAAAGACAUGCUUGAUGGCUGCUGUUUCAACACAUUGGUUAGAGCAAUAGGUUUGUUGAUUAAGGCUAGCCUAAGGGAAAAUGAAAAGCUGGCAUGAGCAGCUUUAUUCCCUGUUAAGCAAAUUAAAUGUGGAUUAUUCUCUUUAAAAAAGACAAAAAUUCUGUAAGAUUGUCACUGUUACUAAGUAAUAGCUGUGUCUUUCAUCCUGAUGCUUUUUACCAUUCUAUCAUGUCUGUCUAUAUACUUAUUAGCUUCAGGUGAAUGACAAUAGUUAAUGAUUUUAUAAUGAUUUUCUGACUGAAAUUCGUUAGGGUAGUAGAGUUUUUAACCCAUUAGUUAGUUAUUCAAGGAAGUGUUUAAACUGAAGAACUGAGUCCUGCAUUCCAAGAACACCCAAACUGCACUCCAAGAUUCAGUCACUGAAAUACACCCUUGUAGCUCUGCCACUGGUUCAUCAUAUCUUCCAGGCUUGCUAUGUUUGUGUCUGUUUUCAGAUUUGGCCAAGAUACAGCCUGAAAAACAUGCAAUCAUAGAUUUUUUUUAAAUAGUAGUUAUGAAGGCAGAAGAAAAUACAUAUUCUAUCCUUUCCACUGCUUUACAAGUAGAUCUGUUCCUUGUUGUUAAUCUUAAAUUAUGAUAAUAUCUUAAGAUUUAUGAUUGAGUAGUUAAUUUUAAAAAAUGCCUCAUGAACUCCCUUAAGUAAAGUGAUUUUCUGAGCUAAGGAAGAGUUGGCACUUACAGAAAAUGGAAAUUAAGGCAUUUAUGCAGCUGCCUUUUUCAAAAACAUGGCCAGCUUUUUAAACAUUUUUUUCCCCACAAUAAGCUUAUAAAGCAAAACAAGCAAAGGGACUUCUCUUGAACUCUAAAAAAACUUUUGGAGAGGAAACAAAACAAAACCUGACUUUUGUAAUUCAAAUGUUAUAAAGUAAAUUGCUUUGGAACCCAUAUUUAUUAUGUGCUCACUGAUCAGGAGAAUUACAUAGCUGUGAAUGAUACUUUUAGAUGAGUGGAAGACAAGUAAGUUUUUUCAGUGUAUUCCUUUUUCUGCAGCAACUGAAGUCCUUCAUGCAACAUUUUUCUGACAUUAGGAUUACAGUUCACUGCAAUUUCUGGCAUAAAUAAGUUAUUUAUGUGUAGAGAUAAUUCCAGGAAUGCAUUCCCUUCAAAACUGUUUUGGUUUUCCUGUUGUGAAAGAGUCCUUGAUUCUUUCCCAGAUCCAGAAUUCUAUCAUGUAUAUAUGUAUGUAUGACAACAUUGCUCUCUUUCCUCAAACAGUGGUUAUAGAGUAUAACUACAUAUGGAAUAUAUGGUUAUUCCAACUCCACGUGUAUUUUGGGAAGGAAAAAAAGUAUCUCUCCCUGAAUAAUUCAAACAGGAAAUUUCAAAAGAGAUAUUUUUUUAACAUCUGUAAAAACACUCACUUUUGGUUGGACAUUAAUAUAUGUUUUAACUACUACCAAAGGAAAUAUUCAACAACAAAGAAUGUAUACUUAAGUUCUAUAAAUACUUCACCAAGAUAGAGCUUUAUACAAAACAAGAGUAUGAAAUAUAGAACUCCUUCAGUGAAAGCAUGCUCAGGAGUAUUGACCUGAAUUAACUGGGCUGAAACAGUUAAGCCAUAUUAUAUCUUUAUGAGAAGAGAAACCUGCAGAAUUAAACUGAACUAAACUAGAUUAUGAACAAUUCCCUUCCAAAGGCAAGUGACUUAACCAAAAUAAUGCCCUUUAUUUUAAAUAAUCAUGUGUAGAUUAAAUAUAGUUUAAUGUAAUCCAUUCUAAAAGUCAGUUUGCAGUUGGUGGGUUUUUUGCUUGUUUUUCCAGGGUGCCCACACUAUUAUUCUAUUUUCUGCCACUACUUGACAUCCCUCUUUUGCUUAGGAUACCCAGAGAUGAGUGGGCAUUGCUCUGACCAAAAUAGGAAGACCUGUUGCACAUUUUUGUAGCUGGCCAGCACUCGAAGGAGGACUCCCACCAAAGCUGAGGAAGCAGACAUCAUGAACAGAAAGGUCAUGAAAGCAAGCUGUAAUACAAGCAGACCAGACCAACAGGGCAUUGUACCAUCGACAGGAUGAAGAACAAAACAAUAAGAGGUGAACAAAUAAACAGCUAAGAAAAAUCUGCAUUUUAUUUUUAAGCAAUUUAAAACAUUUAGAGACAACAAAGAGCCAGUAGAUGUACUAAAAGGAAAAGUUACACAAAAUCAUAAUAUGUGCAUUUCUGUCUCUUCCCUCUUAGUGGAACGUAGUCUGCACAGUCUCUAUAAAUCCAUGUUCUAGCUUCACCUUGAAUACUGCAUACAAUUCUGCAGCUUCCCUCCCAUCUCAGUGAAAAUAGAACUGGAAGAAGAUUCAGAAAUGGUCAACAAGGACUAAGGCAUAGAAAUAGAAUUUCAGAACAGUGAGUUAAAAUGGUGUCAGUGCCACAGAAGAACCCAGUCUGGGACUUAAGCUGGGAUGCAGAACACCAAGGUGCAGUUUCCUAGCUCUGCUACAGCCAUCAUAUAGCACCUUAAGCAAAUCACCCUGCCUCCAUUUCCAUCUCUAACAAUGGGAAAAUAAUUUCUUUCACCAUUCUUUAGUAGUUCAUUAAUUCAGUGGGGCAGCAAAUAUGUCAUAUAGCUUAAUUGUCACAUACUUAAUGCAGUAGGAUCCUAAUUUUGUAGGACUUCGCUUAGAUACCUACAGACCCUAGUAAUUCUAUACUCGUCAUCAUUACUACAGAUCUUUGUAACAGUUAAAUGCAGAGUAUAUAUAAAUUAAAUAGGUAGUCAAUGCUUUUUCAUUUCUCAGUAAAAAUAACUGUUCUUACUAAAUAAAAAGUGUUAAGGGAACCAACUUCUAUUACUAGAAAAAUACAGCUUUGCAGCUGUUUAGUCAGCAGUAAAUAUACUGUUACGCUGCUCUCAAAAUCACUACCUUCACCUGCUCGCAGGGAAGUGGAUAACUUGCACUUACAUUAGCCAUAUUUUAGACCAUUCUAGCACUUUCCAUCAACAUUUUAACAUUUUGGAUUAAUAUACUUUAUCAUCUUCCUGCAUGUACAGAAUCACAGCCACUGAGAAAUGAGGCUUUUACAACUAACUUAACAAGUUUGCCCAUAAUAUUGUUAUGCUGUGAGAAUGUUCCUCAGUACAACUAUGUGUCUCCAUUAUAUUAAUCUAUUCUUCAGAUUUAAAACCAACUUUAAUUAAGCAAUGAUUGAGCACAUGCAACCUUGUUUGAGAAAGUAUAUUUGAAAAGUAAAUGCUUCUCCCUGCCCCUGCACAGCUCCAGUUGACAAAAAGAAAGAAUUCAUCUGUAAGAAGGAAAAUGCCGUUUGUCACAUAUGACUUAGACCAGUUACCAGACACUUCAGAUAAAAGGAACACUACAAAAAGCAAAUAUGACAGGUCUGCACUGCCACAUAAGUUUUUAUUUAAAAACUUAAAAGGAAUUUUAAAUCUUAUUUUUAAAAAAAAUCACUAUCAUUGUAAUCCAUAGUAACUUCCAAUCUGUUACUAGUAUAUUUUCUUAGCUGUAUGCCACAGCAAUUAGCCGGACAACCUAACUCCCCCUCGAUAAAAGUAUUUUUUUCUAUCAGUUUUCUUACCUCCCCACCCCAAUUUCGCUAGAUGUUCUCCUUUGAACUUCAACUUGUAGGAAAUAGAACUCCUGGCUUGCAUUUCUUACUUCAUCACUUCAUAUAGGUUUUGUCUACUUUCUGAUAGAGGCAGCUGUAGUCUGGACAUUUCAGUCUCAUUUGAUUUUUCAAUGGUUUUAAGAUUACUUUCCUUCCUUCAGAGAAAAACAUGUCAACUGCACUAAUCCAACAUCAAGUGCACUAACACAUUGCAUCAGUCAGUCUCCUGAAGAACAAACAUGAAAUGUAAUUCAUGUUGCUCCCCCGGAUACUGUUUUCAUUGUCAUAUCCAAUGGUAUGCUGGAUGGGAUACUGUUCAACUGGAAGUUUCACUAAACUGCUGUUGAACACUAUUAAAAUGUUCUAAUAGGUGUGACUUAUUGACCGGAAGAGUCAGUAAACAAAUGCAGUAUAAGUGACAGUAUGAAAAUAGAGUAGCAGUAAUUAGCAAUGUGACUCCAUGAGUAAUAGGAAAAUUGCUUUGACCCAGCUGAUGGCAGUAGCAACAAAAUCUUAAAAAUAAAUUUUAAAAAAUCUGUCAUAAAUAAAUGGGUUUUCUAUUAUGACUUGUACAUGACCAAGACUUCUCAGGGUCAUUGACAACGUUUAUGGUUGCCACAGAUCCUAUUUCGCUAGUAUUCCAGUCCGUCUCUGUUGGGAAACACAGUGGUAGCUGUGGUCCACUAUGCUGGUAAGACCUGAAAGAUGGAGAUAGAAAGACUAGCUGGCAGCAUAUCCUAGCACAUUGUAUCAGAAGCUACUUGGUAUCGAUCAGCAGGAAGUCACGGUCACACAGCAAGCCUCCAACAACUUUUGUCCUUUUGCAGAAUAUAAGCUCUUGAGCUGGAAACCCUGCUUUCUUCUGGUUUGUCGAGUCCGUACCAUGAUCCCUUCUGCUUGUUCAAGCACCACGCACAGUUUUGACUGGGCUAACGUACCAUUUCUGGUGUUCUGCAUGUAGUUGCACAAAGGUGUAUUGGGUGUACAAAGGCAUAUUAAUAUCCUACCUUAAACUGAUGUGCUUCCACAUUUAUCCCACGCUACCCUAAUUUCAGUGCCAACACAAACAUUUCGUAGAG